GACGUAGGGCGCAAGCGUUGUCCGGAUUUAUUGGGCGUAAAGAGCUCGUAGGCGGCUUGUUGCGUCGACCGUGAAAACCCACAGCUCAACUGUGGGCUUGCGGUUGAUACGGGCGGGCUGGAGUUCGGGAGGGGAGAGUGGAAUUCCUGGUGUAGCGGUGAAAUGCGUAGAUAUCAGGAGGAAUACCGGUGGCGAAAGCGACUCUCUGGACGGCAACUGACGCUGAGGCACGAAAGCGUGGGGAGCAAACAGG
rnacentral:rRNA from 1 species